GAAUUUCACUAGGGGAGCCUUUGGCUGAGAUUGAACAGUAUGUUCUAAACCCUUUGAACCUGAACUGGAUUAUACCAGCGGAGGGAAGAUGAAUGGAUAUUUGU
rnacentral:ncRNA from 2 species